CGCGUAGGCGGUGGGAUAAGUCGAGUGUGAAAUGCCGGGGCUCACCCCCGGAACGGCACCCGAAACUGUCUCACUAGAGGGUAGGCGGAGAAAACGGAAUUCCACAAGUAGCGGUGAAAUGCGUAGAUAUGUGGAAGAACACCGGUGGCGAAGGCGGUUUUCUAGCUUACUCCUGACGCUGAGGCGCGAAAGCAAGGGGAGCGAACA
rnacentral:rRNA from 1 species